CCUACGGGAGGCUGCAGUGGGGAAUAUUGGACAAUGGGGGGAACCCUGAUCCAGCCAUGCCGCGUGUGUGAAGAAGGCCCUCGGGUUGUAAAGCACUUUCAGUGAGGAAGAACGCCUGGUGGUUAAUACCCAUCAGGAAAGACAUCACUCACAGAAGAAGCACCGGCUAACUCCGUGCCAGCAGCCGCGGUAAUACGGAGGGUGCGAGCGUUAAUCGGAAUUACUGGGCGUAAAGCGCGCGUAGGUGGCUUGAUAAGCCGGUUGUGAAAGCCCCGGGCUCAACCUGGGAACGGCAUCCGGAACUGUCAAGCUAGAGUGCAGGAGAGGAAGGUAGAAUUCCCGGUGUAGCGGUGAAAUGCGUAGAGAUCGGGAGGAAUACCAGUGGCGAAGGCGGCCUUCUGGACUGACACUGACGCUGAGGUGCGAAAGCGUGGGUAGCAAACAGGAUUAGAUACCCCUGUAGUC
rnacentral:rRNA from 1 species